rnacentral:tRNA from 1 species
GCCAGAGUGAUGUAGUGGUUUGAGCAUUGGACUAUGACUCUGGAGACCAGGGUUUGAAUCCCUGUUCCAGCA